rnacentral:rRNA from 1 species
AACGAACGCUGGCGGCGUGCUUAACACAUGCAAGUCGAACGAGAAAGUCCUUCGGGAUGAGUAGAGUGGCGCACGGGUGAGUAAUAUAUGGGAACAUGCCUUUUGGUCGGGGAUAACCACGGGAAACUGUGGCUAAUACCGGAUGGUCUCGCAAGAGUAAAGGUGGCGCAAGCUACCGCCAUUAGAUUGGCCCAUAUCCUAUCAGCUAGUUGGUGAGGUAACGGCUCACCAAGGCGAUGACGGGUAGCUGGUCUGAGAGGAUGAUCAGCCACACUGGAACUGAGACACGGUCCAGACUCCUACGGGAGGCUG